rnacentral:rRNA from 1 species
AGUCUGACGGAGCAACGCCGCGUGAGUGACGAAGGUUUUCGGAUCGUAAAACUCUGUUGUGAGGGAAGAUCAAGUGCCACUUAACUACUGGCACCUUGUCGGUACCUCACCAGAAAGCCACGGCUAACUACGUGCCAGCAGCCGCGGUAAUACGUAGGUGGCAAGCGUUGUCCGGAAUUAUUGGGCGUAAAGCGCGCGCAGGCGGUCCUUUAAGUCUGAUGUGAAAGCCCACGGCUCAMCCGUGGAGGGUCAUUGGAAACUGGAGGACUUGAGUGCAGAAGAGGAAAGUGGAAUUCCACGUGUAGCGGUGAAAUGCGUAGAGAUGUGGAGGAACACCAGUGGCGAAGGCGACUUUCUGGUCUGUAACUGACGCUGAGGCGCGAAAGCGUGGGGAGCAAACAGGAUUAGAUACCCUGGUAGUCCACGCCGUAAACGAUGAGUGCUAAGUGUUAGGGGGUUUCCGCCCCUUAGUGCUGCAGCUAACGCAUUAAGCACUCCGC